rnacentral:lncRNA from 1 species
GGUUGCCCUGGUCCUGACUGAGGGGUUGAGGUGGCCCUGGUUUACCCCGGCUUCAAAUUCCUGACCACAUAUAUGUGUACAGAAGCUGUUUAACUAGAUCUGUUUUUAGGAAUAAAAAUUAGACUGGAAUACUAAAAUAGUAAUGUAAAAAAUAAAAAAAUUACAAUUCAGUAACAGUAAUAAUGCAAUGUCAUAAUGCAAUUUUGGUCAUUUAAAAAUAAUCUCUUUCCUCCAAUUUUAUUGUAUUUUUCAGGUCAAAGAAUAGAAGCUGUGCAAAUACCUGCCUUGGACAGAUCUGCUCACUGUUCAUCUCUUCUUCCUUGCAUUCUAAACAGCUCAUAAUGAUUUUAUUCAGGACAAGGAGGUUAUGUGCUUAUACUAAUACAGGACAGGAAUGAAGCUGUUACUUUCUGAAUCAGAAGCAAUCACACACAAAAUGUAGCUCUCCUUCCAGACCAGAGAAGACCUGAGGAUGAUGAACUGUCAGCAUGUUUCUGCAAAUAACCAUUUGUCAGAGAAACAAAAAAAUAACCCCAUUCUCUGCCCUCCCACUCCCACUCCAAUCUCUUCGAUUUAUAAAACUGCACAGGCUGGCUUUUGAAAACAAUGAAGCUGGUAGAAAAAAACAUAUGAACCUUAAAAAGACUUGUCAACAGGGAGAGAGUUAGGCAUGCCCCCGGGGAUACUGAGAAGAGAUCUCUUCCUACACCAGUAUAUUACAUUAUGUCAAACAAAAGAACACUCACAGGCUUCAGCACAGGGACUUCAAGUAAUAUUAUGAAUGAAUGAAUGAAUUCCCAAAAUGAGCAUUUAAAGCAGGAAUUGAGGACUGGAGAGCUUGCUUUCUGCUUCUGUUUUGCUGCCUUUCCAAAGUCCUGUCUCCCUCGUGCUGCAAGUGCCC